GAUGAACGCUAGCGGCGGGCCUAAUACAUGCAAGUUGAACGAGAUUGUUGGUAGCAAUACUGACAUGAAAGUGGCGCACGGGUGCGUAACACGUAUGUAACCUACCUUUAACUGGGGCAUAGCUUCGAGAAAUCGAAAUUAAUACCCCAUAACAUUUAGAAAAGGCAUCUUUUCUUUAUCAAAGUUCCGGCGGUUAAAGAUGGACAUGCGGUGCAUUAGCUUGUUGGUGAGGUAACGGCUCACCAAGGCUACGAUGCAUAGGGGGUCUGAGAGGAUGAUCCCCCACACUGGUACUGAGACACGGACCAGACUCCUACGGGAGCAGCAGUAGGGAAUAUUGGUCAAUGGAGGGAACUCUGAACCAGCCAUGCCGCGUGAAGGAUGACGGCCCUCUGGGUUGUAAACUUCUUUUGGAUGGGGGCGAAAAAAACGGGAUUUAUCCUGGACUGACGGUACCGUCAGAAUAAGCACCGGCUAACUCCGUG
rnacentral:rRNA from 1 species